rnacentral:misc_RNA from 1 species
UGGUUCUGGCAUNGAUGAAGAACGCAGCGAAAUGCGAUAAGUAAUGCGAAUUGCAGAAUUCAGUGAGUCAUCGAAUCUUUGAACGCAUAUUGCGCCCUUUGGUAUUCCGAAGGGCAUGCCUGUUCGAGCGUCAUUAUCAACCCUCAAGCUUAGCUUGUUGUUGGAUUUGUUGUCUUUCGAGACGACUAUUCCCAAAGACAAUGGCGACGUCUUUUGACCCUUGGUGCAACGAGCUUUUCAAGCACGCAUUUAAAGUGGCCAAUUGACUUUUGACCUCAACUUUUACAAUUUAAGGUUGACCUCGGAUCAGGUAGGAAUACCCGCUGA